rnacentral:rRNA from 1 species
CCUACGGGGGGCAGCAGUGGGGAAUAUUGCACAAUGGGGGAAACCCUGAUGCAGCGACGCCGCGUGAGUGAAGAAGUAUUUCGGUAUGUAAAGCUCUAUCAGCAGGGAAGAAAAUGACGGUAACUGAUUAAGAAGCACCGGCCAACUACGUGCCAGCAGCCGCGGUAAUAAGUAGGGGGCAAGCGCUAGCCGGAUUUACUGGGUGUAAAGGGAGCGUAGACGGCAGCACAAGUCUGGAGUGAAAGGCCGGGGGUUAACCCCGGAACUGCUUUGGAAACUGUGCAGCUAGAGUGCAGGAGAGGUGAGUGGAAUUCCAUGUGUAGCGGUGAAAUGCGUAGAUAUAAGGAGGAACACCAGUGGCGAAGGCGGCUUACUGGUCUGUAACUGACGUUGAGGCUCGAAAGCGUGGGGAGCAAACAGGAUUAGAUACCCGGGUAGUC